rnacentral:rRNA from 1 species
CAAACGACUCUCGGCAACGGAUAUCUCGGCUCUCGCAUCGAUGAAGAACGUAGCGAAAUGCGAUACUUGGUGUGAAUUGCAGAAUCCCGUGAACCAUCGAGUCUUUGAACGCAAGUUGCGCCCGAAGCCAUCCGGCCAAGGGCACGUCUGCCUGGGCGUCACGC